AACAGGAUUAGAUACCCUGGUAGUCCACGCCGUAAACGAUGUCGACUUGGAGGUUGUGCCCUUGAGGCGUGGCUUCCGGAGCUAACGCGUUAAGUCGACCGCCUGGGGAGUACGGCCGCAAGGUUAAAACUCAAAUGAAUUGACGGGGGCCCGCACAAGCGGUGGAGCAUGUGGUUUAAUUCGAUGCAACGCGAAGAACCUUACCUACUCUUGACAUCCAGAGAACUUAGCAGAGAUGCUUUGGUGCCUUCGGGAACUCUGAGACAGGUGCUGCAUGGCUGUCGUCAGCUCGUGUUGUGAAAUGUUGGGUUAAGUCCCGCAACGAGCGCAACCCUUAUCCUUUGUUGCCAGCGGUUCGGCCGGGAACUCAAAGGAGACUGCCAGUGAUAAACUGGAGGAAGGUGGGGAUGACGUCAAGUCAUCAUGGCCCUUACGAGUAGGGCUACACACGUGCUACAAUGGUGCAUACAAAGAGAAGCGACCUCGCGAGAGCAAGCGGACCUCAUAAAGUGCGUCGUAGUCCGGAUUGGAGUCUGCAACUCGACUCCAUGAAGUCGGAAUCGCUAGUAAUCGUAGAUCAGAAUGCUACGGUGAAUACGUUCCCGGGCCUUGUACACACCGCCCGUCACACCAUGGGAGUGGGUUGCAAAAGAAGUAGGUAGCUUAACCUUCGGGAGGGCGCUUACCACUUUGUGAUUCAUGACUGGUGUGAAGUCGUAACAAGGUAGCCGUA
rnacentral:rRNA from 1 species